rnacentral:tRNA from 1 species
ACGGCGGUGGCGGAAUUGGUAGACGCGCUAGCUUCAGGUGUUAGUGUCCUUACGGACGUGGGGGUUCAAGUCCCCCCCCUCGCACCA